rnacentral:lncRNA from 1 species
GGGGCCAUAAAUGCGAAUGUGCUCUUCCUUUAUCUGUUGCUGCUUAAAUCGGUUAAAGUUGGAAGACAGACACCUGAAAAUCUCGCGUGGCAAUGCUGGUGCUGGAGUCACCUACAAAAUAAGUCCCAAGCUGGAGGUUGUAGCUCCGAUGAGGACCUUCCGAUACUUAAAUCAGAAAAGCAAAGAACAAAAGGAGCAGCCAUCGAAUUCUUUAAGAGG